rnacentral:rRNA from 1 species
AUUGAACGCUGGCGGAAUGCUUUACACAUGCAAGUCGAACGGUAACAGGUUAAGCUGACGAGUGGCGAACGGGUGAGUAAUACAUCGGAACGUGCCCAGUCGUGGGGGAUAACGUAGAGAAAUUUACGCUAAUACCGCAUACGAUCCAAGGAUGAAAGCGGGGGACCGUAAGGCCUCGCGCGAUUGGAGCGGCCGAUGUCAGAUUAGGUAGCUGGUGGGGUAAAGGCCUACCAAGCCGACGAUCUGUAGCUGGUCUGAGAGGACGACCAGCCACACUGGGACUGAGACACGGCCCAGACUCCUACGGGAGGCAGCAGUGGGGAAUUUUAGACAAUGGGGGCAACCCUGAUCCAGCCAUUCCGCGUGAGUGAAGAAGGCCUUCGGGUUGUAAGCUCUUUCGGCAGGAACGAAACGGUGAGGGCUAAUAUCCCUUAUCAAUGACGGUACCUGAAGAAGAAGCACCGGCUAACUACGUGCCAGCCGCCGCGGUAA